ACUAGUAUAUCAGAAGAGUCCCAAGAACCCAGAAAAAACAAGAUAAUGCACAUUAUUUAUUCUUCAGUAUCCGUGGGUCUAUGUUGUCCAUUCAUCUUCAUAUGCAUGUUUUCAUGUCUCAGAAGGUACCAUGCAAAGCAAAAGAGAACUCCAUUAACGCCACAGAGACUAGAGAGCCUGGUCAGAAGUCCAGCAGCUGUUCCAUCCCACACUGCUGGGACAACUCAAGCUUCAGAUGAAAGCUCUUUGCUUUACUGCUCCAUGGCUAGCCCACAGCAGCUCUUGCAUUCCAACACAAUUUAUGACAACGAUGUUCCUCACUGGAAUGCUAAGAGGACAGCACCUAAUUCACCUAAUGAUCCUUCCAUCCCAGCUUCACCUGAAAGCCCAGAUGUCCUCAUAUAUGCUACACUAAAUCAUUCUGCUUCUGCAGAAAAAUGCCAGAGAAGGGAACUGUCUGUAGAAAAUGAAUUUACAGAAUAUGCCUCCAUUAAUG